GGGGCGGUAGCUCAGGGGGAGAGCACCGGCUUUGCACGCCGGGGCGCAGGGGUUCGAAUCCCCUCCGCUCCA
rnacentral:tRNA from 2 species